AAGACGGUGGAGUAUGUGGUUUAAUUCGAUGCAACGCGAAGAACUACCUGGUCUGACAUCCGGAGACCCUUAGGAAACUAGGGGGUGGCUUCCAUCUGGAAGAAUCUGGAGACAGGUGCUGCAUGGCUGUCGUCAGCUCGUGUCGUGAGAUGUUGGGUUAAGUCCCGCAACGAGCGCAACCCUUGCCUUUAGUUGCCAGCAGUUCGGCUGGGCACUCUAAAGGGACUGCCGGUGUUAAACCGGAGGAAGGUGGGGAUGACGUCAAGUCCUCAUGGCCUUUAUGACCAGGGCUACACACGUACUACAAUGGCCGAUACAAAGGGCAGCGACACUGCGAGGUGAAGCCAAUCCCGUAAAAUCGGUCUCAGUCCGGAUUGGAGUCUGCAACUCGACUCCAUGAAGUUGGAAUCGCUAGUAAUCGUGGAUCAGCAUGCCACGGUGAAUACGUUCCCGGGCCUU
rnacentral:rRNA from 1 species